rnacentral:rRNA from 1 species
UGGCUCAGGAUGAACGCUAGCUACAGGCUUAACACAUGCAAGUCGAGGGGCAGCAUUUCAGUUUGCUUGCAAACUGGAGAUGGCGACCGGCGCACGGGUGAGUAACACGUAUCCAACCUGCCGAUAACUCGGGGAUAGCCUUUCGAAAGAAAGAUUAAUACCCGAUGGUAUAAUCAGACCGCAUGGUUUGAUUAUUAAAGAAUUUCGGUUAUCGAUGGGGAUGCGUUCCAUUAGGCAGUUGGUGAGGUAACGGCUCACCAAACCUUCGAUGGAUAGGGGUUCUGAGAGGAAGGUCCCCCACAUUGGAACUGAGACACGGUCCAAACUCCUACGGGAGGCAGCAGUGAGGAAUAUUGGUCAAUGGACGAGAGUCUGAACCAGCCAAGUAGCGUGAAGGAUGACUGCCCUAUGGGUUGUAAACUUCUUUUAUAUGGGAAUAAAGUUUUCCACGCGUGGAAUUUUGUAUGUACCAUAUGAAUAAGGAUCGGCUAACUCCGUGCCAGCAGCCGCGGUAAUACGGAGGAUCCGAGCGUUAUCCGGAUUUAUUGGGUUUAAAGGGAGCGUAGGUGGACAGUUAAGUCAGUUGUGAAAGUUUGCGGCUCAACCGUAAAAUUGCAGUUGAUACUGGCUGUCUUGAGUACAGUAGAGGUGGGCGGAAUUCGUGGUGUAGCGGUGAAAUGCUUAGAUAUCACGAAGAACUCCGAUUGCGAAGGCAGCUCACUGGACUGCAACUGACACUGAUGCUCGAAAGUGUGGGUAUCAAACAGGAUUAGAUACCCUGGUAGUCCACACAGUAAACGAUGAAUACUCGCUGUUUGCGAUAUACAGUAAGCGGCCAAGCGAAAGCAUUAAGUAUUCCACCUGGGGAGUACGCCGGCAACGGUGAAACUCAAAGGAAUUGACGGGGGCCCGCACAAGCGGAGGAACAUGUGGUUUAAUUCGAUGAUACGCGAGGAACCUUACCCGGGCUUAAAUUGCAUUUGAAUAUAUUGGAAACAGUAUAGUCGUAAGACAAAUGUGAAGGUGCUGCAUGGUUGUCGUCAGCUCGUGCCGUGAGGUGUCGGCUUAAGUGCCAUAACGAGCGCAACCCUUAUCUUUAGUUACUAACAGGUCAUGCUGAGGACUCUAGAGAGACUGCCGUCGUAAGAUGUGAGGAAGGUGGGGAUGACGUCAAAUCAGCACGGCCCUUACGUCCGGGGCUACACACGUGUUACAAUGGGGGGUACAGAAGGCAGCUACCUGGUGACAGGAUGCUAAUCCCAAAAGCCUCUCUCAGUUCGGAUCGAAGUCUGCAACCCGACUUCGUGAAGCUGGAUUCGCUAGUAAUCGCGCAUCAGCCAUGGCGCGGUGAAUACGUUCCCGGGCCUUGUACACACCGCCCGUCAAGCCAUGAAAGCCGGGGGUACCUGAAGUACGUAACCGCAAGGAGCGUCCUAGGGUAAAACUGGUAAU